AGUAUUUUCCCCUUGGAGAGGGAUAGCCACUGGAAACGGUGAUAAUACCUCAUACUCCUGUUUAACUUAAGUUGAAUAGGGAAAUGGUUUUUCUGCCAAGGGAUAAGACUAUAUCCUAUCAGCUAGUUGGUGGUGUAAGAGACUACCAAGGCGAUGACGGGUAGCUGGUCUGAGAGGAUGAUCAGCCACACUGGAACUGAGACACGGUCCAGACUCCUACGGGAGGCAGCAGUGGGGAAUAUUGCACAAUGGGGGAAACCCUGAUGCAGCAACGCCGCGUGGAGGAAGAAGCAUUUAGGUGUGUAAACUCCUUUUAUCAAGGAAGAAGAUGACGGUACUUGAUGAAUAAGCACCGGCUAACUCCGUGCCAGCAGCCGCGGUAAUACGGAGGGGUGCAAGCGUUACUCGGAAUCACUGGGCGUAAAGCGCAUGUAGGCGGUUGUUAAGUUAGAAGUGAAAGCCUACGGUCAACCGUGGAACAGCUUCUAAAACUGAAUACUAGAGUCUGGGAGAGGAAGAUGGAAUUAGUAGUGUAGGGGUAAAAUCCGUAGAGAUUACUAGGAAUACCGAAAGCGAAGGCGAUCUUCUGGAACAGGACUGACGCUGAGAUGCGAAAGCGUGGGGAGCAAACAGGAUUAGAUACCCUGGUAGUCCACGCCCUAAACGAUGAAUGUUAGUCGUUGGAGUGCUAGCCACUUCAGUGAUGCAGUAACGCAUUAACAUUCCGGCUGGGGAAGUACGGGCCGCAGGGUUAAACUUCCAAAGGAUAGACGGGGGACCGGACAAAGUGGGUGGGCCUUGUGGGUAAUCCCGAAGAGUACGAGGAAAGAACCUUUUACUUGGGGGUUGGGGUAUUUCCGAAUUUUGGCCAAAAUUGGGGAGGGGGCGCCUCGGGAGCCGGGAAGAACAGGGGGCUGGACCAGGUGUUGGUACAACCCUUGUCUGAAAAAUUGGGUAAAUCCCCGCGAAAAGGGGGACCCUCUUGGGUGUUUUAAACCGACAGGGGGGGGCCAUUAAAGGGGUCCAUAAAGAGAAGGUGUGAGCGCACAAAAAUGGCUCACGAGGGGCUCCCGGGGAAAACAGGGGGGGGGAAAAACACCGGGGGGCACGAGGGAAAUAAACGGAGGGAACCCAGCAAAAGGAGCCGGUUUUUGUUUCUUCCUCUGGCGGUGCC
rnacentral:rRNA from 1 species